rnacentral:sRNA from 1 species
UUCAAAAGACUGCUGAGGACAGAAUGAAAUGAAUAUGGGUAUCGAAGCCACCUGGUGUCACAAUCUUGUGUUCACCGGCAAUGACAUCGGUGCAGGAGCCUACGACCAAUUUCGGAUCCACGCCAUCCAUGACAUCUGGGCUACCUGCUUUGCCAAUACCGACAAUGAUGCCAUCCUUGAUUCCAAUAUCGGCCUUGUAAAUGCCAGUCCAGUCGAUAAUCAGGGCGUUAGUGAUGACCGUAUCAAGUGAAUCUUUAUCCGAUCGUCCUCCUGCUUGACCCAUGCCUUCUCUUAG